rnacentral:lncRNA from 1 species
AUUCGCUGUGUGACUCAGGGCAAGUGUGCGCACCUCUCUGAGCCUCCGCGGCCUUCUCUAGCAAAAUGGUGGAGCCGGUACCCGGCUGUAAGGCAAGCUGGGAUGCGCGGAGUAGCGGGUGGAAAGCUGGACUGGAGUUCUCACUCGGCCGCUGGGUGACUUCGGUGCACUAGGGAUAGUAACAGUACCACCUCGUAGGGUUGUAGAAAGACCAAGUGAGUUAAUAUUUGUAAAGUGUUUAGAACAGCGUCUACUGCAUGGAAAGUAGUAUUUAUUUGUUAGAGAGACUCCAGGAGGUCUUGCCCAGGGAUUGACUUCUCCCUUCCCUGUCUCCACCCCCCACAUUCCCGUUUGUGAGCCAAGCCUUGCUUUUGCACCGGCCGGGCUCUCUUGCCUGGAAAUGCAUACCCAUCUCAAACCUGGGCUUUAAAAUCACCUCCUCUGGGACGCCUUCCUCUACUUCUCACAGUUCAGGCCUGUUCUGCCCCACACAGCAGAAAAUGCCCACGAUGCAAUACCAGAGUCUGCAUGGGACCAUUUCAACAACCCUUAGAAGCUGACUCAGCUGUCUCCUGGCCCUGACUUUUCUAAGAUGAGAGGAGCUGGUAGGAACAAUUUGGGAACCCUCAAAGGCUGAGAGUAUCCCACCCACUUCACAGAUGAAGCAAACUGAGGCCCAGAGAAGGGAAAUUACUUGCCCAAGAUCACCCAGCAAGUAAGAAACAGAGCUGGAGAUGAGCUCAGGCCAGCACGGAACCACGCAAACUCCUUCUGUAGGCUUUGUAAAGGAUUGAUGAGAAAAGCAGAUGGUUAAGAGCUCUACAACUUCUGUGAGGUAAAGAAUAUCUGCAGGGCUGGACGUGGCGGCUCUUGCCUGUAAUCUUAGCACUUUGGGAGGCCAAAGUGGGUGGAUUGCUUGAGUCUAUGAGUUCAAGACCAGCCUGGGCAACAUGGUAAAACUCUGUCUCUCUAAAAAAAAAAAAAAAAAAAAAUUAGCUGAGUGUGGUGUUGUGUGCUUGUAGUCCCAGCUACUUUGGAGGCUGAAGCGGAAGGAUCCCUUGGCCCAGGAGGCAGAGGUUGCAGUGAGCUGAGAUUGUGCCACUGCACUUCAGCUUGGGUGACAGAGCCAGACCUUAUUUAAAAAAAAAAAAAGGAUAUCUGUGAUUACAAGAUUACCAUGCAAUUUUGAAAGCCUGCUGUUGCCCAGCUGGACAGCUAGAGUUAUUCUCAGUGGUGGGAUGGCUGAACUGGGGGCCCACUGUGGAGAGCUGGUUUCCCACUGGAGUUCUCUGAAAAGGUGCCUGAUUUCACAGCUCUGAUUCUACAGAAGGAGGCCGGACCCUUCACGUAAUUGCUACCCUUUAUUUAUGGAGCUAUUCCUCUGUCGGGAUGCCCUUUAUAUGUGUACAGUCUGUGCUGCAGUCGAUUCUUAUAGUGAUUCUAUGCAGAAGUUACUUUAGAGGAGGCUGCUGGGGCGCAGGGUGGGUAGGUACCUUGUCAGCAUGGUGGGGCUGGGUCUCCAGCUGGUUGGGACCCCACCCUCCUAUCAUGGCCCAGGAGUGAGGCAUUCAGGGCUGGACCACCAGCAUUUGUGAAGCUUUUGCCCCAUUAUCCCAUCAGAACAUCUUCUUGGCCCUGGCAGGCAGCCAGGGCAGGGCCAUUCUCCACCUUACUGACAAAGAAGCCCAGGGAGGGGAAGAGGGUGCUCCCCCAACACCUCCAUUGCCUCUGCCUGCUUAGUCCAGAAUGCAGGAUAGAGAAAUAAUGGGAAAAGCUCCCAAGUGUUGCUGGAUCUCUGCCUGCCAGGGAAGCUGUGACCCCAGUAAGGGCAGGGUGUUCCUUCCAGGGAACUCGAGGUGGGGCAGGAUGGGUAGGGAGUGAGAUCAGAGGGAAGGCCAUGUUGGGAAGAUGGGAAGGCAAGUCUCUGGGGGUUUGUGGGAUAGAGGAAGGGAACAUCAUAGAACAGGCCAGGAAUAGGAGCUUGACCUGGAGAUUACUUUGCAGCAGGUUUAAACAGGGGCCAUGUGAGAGUGUGGAGCCCUGGGGUCAGAGGUUACUGGAUGCAAAUUAUGACUCUGCCACUUAUGGGAAUGGUGAGUUAGGACAAAUGAUUUCCCUGGGCCUCAGGGUCUUCAUGUAUAAAAGGGCUGAAGCUCAGUGGGUAACUGGAGCACUGCCUGGGUUAGAUCCUGGCUCCACCCCUUUCCAGUGUGACCUAGGGUGAAUGAGUUCACCUCUCUGGGCAUCAGUGUCCUUGUCUCUAAGAUGGACUUGAUAAUAAUGAAAGCUACCCCUCACAGGGCUGUGGUGAGGAUGAAGGGGUCUGGCAGCACAUGUAGAAUUCUUAGAGCAGGCUUUUUUCCUGCAGAGUCUUUGUUGCUAUCAUCAUCAUCAUCAUCAUCCUCAUCCUCAUCAUCAUCUACCUCCAGGGAUUCUUGGGGGGCUUAAACAAGGCAGGUUGUACAAAUUAUCUGGCACAGACGUCAUUAAAUAAUAACAGGGCAGAGUGACGGGUGCUGUGAUACAGGGAAGAGCUGGGAGAGACACAGGAAAGAGAAAAGACUUCUGUCUGGCUGGGUGGAAGAAGGGUGUGGAAGGUAUGGAAGCCAAGGGAAAACUUCCCCUUUGCCCUCUGAAGGUUCACUGAAAAGUCAACUGACAAAAGGCAGAUGAAUAGCAGAAAUGGCAUGCAAAUUUAUUAAUGCGCACACAGGGAGAACCACAGAGUGAUUGAUUACUCCCCACUCUGCAAUGGGGUGCAGAAGCUUAUAUGCCAUCUUGAGGUUACAGAAAGAAUGGGGGCUUGGGGCCUGAGCGCAGUGGCUCAUGCCUGUAUUCCCACCACUUUGGGAGGCCAAGGUGGGUGGAUCACCUGAGGUCAGGAGUUUGAGACCACCCUGACCAACAUGAAACCCCGUCUCUACUAAAAAUACAAAAAAUUAGCUGGGUGUUGUGGUGCGCACCUGUAAUUCCAGCUACUCGGGAGGCUGAGGCAGGAGAAUCACUUGAACCAGGGAUGCUGAGGUUGCACGAGCUGAGAUCGCACCGCUGCCCUCCAGCCUGGGCAACAAGAGC